AUUGAACGCUGGCGGCGUGCCUAAUACAUGCAAGUCGAACGGGGAAAGCUUUCGGGUGAGUACUAGUGGCGCACGGGUGAGGAACGCGUGGAUAAUCUGCCUUAGAGUGGGGGAUAACUAGUCGAAAGAUUAGCUAAUACCGCAUAAGACCACAGGAGCUGCGGCUCUAGGGGUCAAAGGUUUUUCGCUCUAAGAUGAGUCCGCGUAAGAUUAGCUAGUUGGUGAGGUAACGGCUCACCAAGGCGACGAUCUUUAACUGGUCUGAGAGGAUGAUCAGUCACACUGGAACUGAGACACGGUCCAGACUCCUACGGGAGGCAGCAGUAGGGAAUAUUGCACAAUGGAGGAAACUCUGAUGCAGCGACGCCGCGUGAGUGAUGAAGGCCUUCGGGUCGUAAAGCUCUGUCGCAGGGGAAUAAAGCCGAAUGUACCCUGUAAGAAAGGAUCGGCUAACUUCGUGCCAGCCGCCACAGUAACAC
rnacentral:rRNA from 1 species